GAUGAACGCUGGCGGCGUGCCUAAUACAUGCAAGUCGAGCGAACAGACGAGGAGCUUGCUCCUCUGACGUUAGCGGCGGACGGGUGAGUAACACGUGGAUAACCUACCUAUAAGACUGGGAUAACUUCGGGAAACCGGAGCUAAUACCGGAUAAUAUAUUGAACCGCAUGGUUCAAUAGUGAAAGACGGUUUUGCUGUCACUUAUAGAUGGAUCCGCGCCGCAUUAGCUAGUUGGUAAGGUAACGGCUUACCAAGGCAACGAUGCGUAGCCGACCUGAGAGGGUGAUCGGCCACACUGGAACUGAGACACGGUCCAGACUCCUACGGGAGGCAGCAGUAGGGAAUCUUCCGCAAUGGGCGGAAGCCUGACGGAGCAACGCCGCGUGAGUGAUGAAGGUCUUCGGAUCGUAAAACUCUGGUAUUAGGGAAGAAAAAAUGUGUAAGUAACUAUGCCCGUCUUGACGGUACCUAAUCAGAAAGCCACGGCUAACUACGUG
rnacentral:rRNA from 1 species